UACGUAGGGUGCGAGCGUUGCCCGGAUUUACUGGGCGUAAAGAGCGCGCAGGCGGUCGUACAAGUCGCGUGUGAAAGCCCCCGGCUCAACUGGGGAGGGUCACGCGAUACUGUUCGACUCGAAGGCAGGAGAGGGAAGUGGAAUUCCCGGUGUAGUGGUGAAAUGCGUAGAUAUCGGGAGGAACACCAGUGGCGAAGGCGACUUCCUGGCCUGUUCUUGACGCUGAGGCGCGAAAGCUAGGGUAGCAAACGGG
rnacentral:rRNA from 1 species